rnacentral:rRNA from 1 species
GACGAACGCUGGCGGCGCGCUUAACACAUGCAAGUCGAACGGAAAGGCCUGCUUUCCCUUGUGGAUUGCGGGUACUCGAGUGGCGAACGGGUGAGUAACACGUGAGUGAUCUGCCCCCAACUUGGGUAUAAGCCUGGGAAACUGGGUCUAAUUCCCGAUAGGACUGCAGGGUGGUGCCUGUGGUGGAAAACGAUUUUCUAGUGGUUGGGGAUGAGCUCGCGGCCUAUCAGCUUGUUGGUGGGGUAAUGGCCUACCAAGGCGGCGACGGGUAGCCGGCCUGAGAGGGUGGACGGCCACAUUGGGACUGAGAUACGGCCCAGACUCCAACGGGAGGCAGCAGUGGGGAAUAUUGCACAAUGGGCGGAAGCCUGAUGCAGCGACGCCGCGUGGGGGAUGACGGCCUUCGGGUUGUAAACUCCUUUCGACCGCGAGGAAGCCACCUGGUUGGAAGGGUGGUGACGGUAGUGGUAGAAGAAGCACCGGCUAACUACGUG